rnacentral:rRNA from 1 species
GACGAACGCUGGCGGCGUGCUUAACACAUGCAAGUCGAACGGUAAGGCCCCUCGGGGUACACGAGUGGCGAACGGGUGAGUAACACGUGGGUGAUCUGCCCUGCACUUCGGGAUAAGCCUGGGAAACUGGGUCUAAUACCGGAUAGGACCACUGCCUGCAUGGGUGGUGGUGGAAAGCUUUUGCGGUGUGGGAUGGGCCCGCGGCCUAUCAGCUCGUUGGUGGGGUAAUGGCCUACCAAGGCGACGACGGGUAGCCGGCCUGAGAGGGUGACCGGUCACACUGGGACUGAGAUACGGCCCAGACUCCUACGGGAGGCAGCAGUGGGGAAUAUUGCACAAUGGGCGCAAGCCUGAUGCAGCGACGCCGCGUGAGGGAUGACGGCCUUCGGGUUGUAAACCUCUUUCAGCUAUGACGAAGCGCAAGUGACGGUAGUAGCAGAAGAAGGACCGGCCAACUACGUGCCAGCCGCCGCCGUAA